UACUCCUUGCGACACUCGUAAGGUUCUACUAAAAUUUGGCUUAUUUUGCGCUUUCUCCAUGAUCUCCACUUAAUUGACACGUGGCGAAGUGGGCGUACAUCCUAAAAUGUGGACCAAAUGAUCAUCGAAUCAAUAUCCUUACCUCAUUAAAUGAUCAUAUUGGGUUUUCAAUCUUCAAUGAAUAGAGUUGGAGAACUUCAUUUGUAAUUGUAAUCAUCACUAUGCAGUCUCUAUUCAAUCAGGGAAAAUCUUCAUAGCAAAUUAGGAGCAGGAGCAGCAUAUAAUUUCCUCAUCAACAAACAAACUUCUUCAAAUUGGCAUUUAAAAAAUAAAAUGAAAUAAACAAACCUUAUAAUAAUAGGAAGCCAGGACCAUGAGCACUUAAUUACACUCAUUAAUUCCAUGUCAUGGAACAGAAGCUUUACACUUAUUCGAUAGAAUUCUUGACAUCACAGCUUUACAAGGUAAAUCAGCAAAAGAUGGAAAAAACCAGAGGGUCAACACUACGUACAAUUGUAUAGCAAAAUGAUAUGAAUUUGACAGAGUCUGAGAAGUGAGCACUGCUACUCGUUAUUUGCCAUCCAAACUGAAGUGUGCCGGCGCCUGUGCCCCCGGGCUGCUGCAGCAUGGAAGCUCAAGGAGGCUUGUGUACUUCUGAAACUGAGACCAUUAGAGACGGUGAGUGAGCGAGCGAGCGGGUGGGUGAGUGAAUGGAGAAGAUAAGGAUGGCUCUCUUUGUUUCUCUUUUGGAAAAAUAUGCAAAAGAGACACAAAAUGCAAAGCCCUGGCCACGCCUGCAGUAUAUAAAUUAUAUAUGCAUAUGCAUACGUGCUAAAAGACAUUAGAAAAGCGUGUGAUGGCAUCAUUUGGUCUGUGGCUGUCAGAAUAUUGUAUUGUAUGUAUUCUUCUGUUAUCCUAGCUACUUAUUUAUCAAGUCACUUUAUCUUUA
rnacentral:lncRNA from 1 species